rnacentral:rRNA from 1 species
UGGGGAAUAUUGCACAAUGGGCGAAAGCCUGAUGCAGCAACACCGCGUGAGUGAUGAAGGCCUUCGGGUUGUAAAGCUCUGUCUUUUGGGACGAUAAUGACGGUACCAAAGGAGGAAGCCACGGCUAACUACGUGCCAGCAGCCGCGGUAAUACGUAGGUGGCAAGCGUUGUCCGGAUUUACUGGGCGUAAAGGAUGCGUAGGCGGAUUUUUAAGUGAGAUGUGAAAACCCUAAGCUUAACUUGGGGACUGCAUUUCAUACUGGAAAUCUAGAGUGCGGGAGAGGAGAAUGGAAUUCCUAGUGUAGCGGUGAAAUGCGUAGAGAUUAGGAAGAACACCAGUGGCGAAGGCGAUUCUCUGGACCGUAACUGACGCUGAGGCAUGAAAGCGUGGGUAGCAAACAGGAUUAGAUACCCUGGUAGUCCACGCCGUAAACGAUGAGUACUAGGUGUAGGAGGUAUCGACCCCUUCUGUGCCGCAGUUAACACAAUAAGUACUCCGCCUGGGAAGUACGAUCGCAAGAUUAAAACUCAAAUGAAUUGACGGGGUCAUAG